CAGCCGCCACGGUAAUACGUAGGUGGCAAGCGUUGUCCGGAAUUAUUGGGCGUGAAGGGCUCGCAGGCGGUUUCUUAAGUCUGGUGUGAAAGCCCCCGGCUCGACCGGGGAGGGUCAUUGGAAACUGGGAAACUUGAGUGCAGAAGAGGAGAGUGGAACUCCACGUGUAGCGGUGAAAUGCGUAGAGAUGUGGAGGAACACCAGUGGCGAAGGCGACUCUCUGGUCUGUAACUGACGCUGAGGAGCGAAAGCGUGGGGAGCGAACAGGAUUAGAUACCCGCGUAGUCCCUGUCUCUUAUAC
rnacentral:rRNA from 1 species